GCGCAGGACUCAUCCCCAGCCAGUUGUUGGAGGAGAAGCGGAAAGCAUUUGUCAAACGGGACCUGGAACUGACCCCGACCUCAGGGACCCUGUGCGGCAGCCUUUCAGGAAAGAAAAAGAAGCGAAUGAUGUAUUUGACCACCAAGAAUGCAGAGUUUGACCGCCAUGAGCUGCUUAUCUAUGAGGAGGUGGCCCGCAUGCCCCCAUUCCGUAGGAAAACCCUGGUGCUGAUUGGCGCGCAGGGUGUGGGCCGGCGAAGCCUGAAAAACAAGCUCAUUCUGUGGGAUCCAGACCGCUACGGCACCACAGUGCCCUACACAUCCCGGAGGCCCAAGGACUCAGAACGGGAGGGGCAGGGCUACAGCUUUGUGUCUCGUGGGGAGAUGGAGGCUGACAUCCGCGCCGGGCGCUACUUGGAGCAUGGCGAGUAUGAGGGCAACCUGUACGGCACGCGGAUCGACUCCAUCCGGGGCGUUGUUGCCUCGGGCAAGGUGUGCGUGCUGGAUGUCAACCCUCAGGCGGUGAAGGUCCUGAGGACAGCUGAGUUUGUCCCUUACGUGGUGUUCAUCGAGGCUCCUGACUUUGAGACUCUGCGGGCCAUGAACCGAGCUGCCCUGGAGAGCGGAGUGUCCACUAAGCAGCUGACGGAGGCGGAUCUGAGGCGGACAGUGGAGGAGAGCAGCCGCAUCCAGAGAGGCUAUGGGCAUUACUUCGACCUCAGCCUGGUCAACAGCAACCUGGAGAGGACCUUCCGCGAGCUCCAGACUGCCAUGGAGAAGCUUCGCACGGAGCCCCAGUGGGUGCCUGUGAGCUGGGUGUACUGAGUCUUGCUCUGGACCUUGUUACUGCCUGGUCGGGAAUCCAACUUUCACUCGGCCUGUGAUACUCCCCCACCCUGCUAAUGGUCUUCAUCCUCCCAUCUCCGGUUUUCCCUGGACCACAGUUCCCAGCAGGGGCUGGCUUCAGAUAUAGAGGUGUGCACUGCCAGGGAGGUAGGUGUUCAUGGGGUACCUCUGUACCCAGGUGCUGCCCACUCCCCACGUCUACUGGCCACCAGACAUCCCUUUCUGAGGAUCAUGCUGUGUCCGGGAGCAUCACAGAUCACUCCUGUAAAUCUCAGUCCAGGGAAGAGCAGAGCCGCUAGGGGCCUUGUGGUCAGUAGGUCUGUGACCCUGCUAGCUUUUUCUCCUCUCUGGAC
rnacentral:lncRNA from 1 species